CUACGGGUUGCUCCAGUGGGGAAUAUUGCACAAUGGGCGUAAGCCUGAUGCAGCCAUGCCGCGUGUAUGAAGAAGGCCUUCGGGUUGUAAAGUACUUUCAGCGGGGAGGAAGGGAGUAAAGUUAAUACCUUUGCUCAUUGACGUUACCCGCAGAAGAAGCACCGGCUAAGUCCGUGCCAGCAGCCGCGGUAAUACGGAGGGUGCAAGCGUUAAUCGGAAUUACUGGGCGUAAAGCGCACGCAGGCGGUUUGCUAAGUCAGAUGUGAAAUCCCCGGGCUCAACCUGGGAACUGCAUCUGAUACUGGCAAGCUUGAGUCUCGUAGAGGGGGGUAGAAUUCCAGGUGUAGCGGUGAAAUGCGUAGAGAUCUGGAGGAAUACCGGUGGCGAAGGCGGCCCCCUGGACGAAGACUGACGCUCAGGUGCGAAAGCGUGGGGAGCAAACAGGAUUAGAUACCCCAGUAGUC
rnacentral:rRNA from 1 species